ensembl:lncRNA novel transcript, sense overlapping KCNA1
AGGGGUGCAGCCUGUCCCCUGCAUGGUCCCCACGAUGCAUCAAGAGCUGGGAGCAUCUAGGGGCAAAAUAAGAAAUGAGGCCGGGACUGAGCUCUUCAUUUGCCAAUUUUGACCUGCAAAGCCUGGGGCUGCUUCCCCCUAGCACAGGGGACGGACAGCCUGAAGGACUGUGGGGACAUGCAUCAUGUCAGGUUUCCUUGGGUCCAGGGAGCAGCUCGGCUGACCGGCAGAUGAGGUCAUGGUCACCCCGCUGCUGGCUAACUGCAGCUACUUCUGCCAGCCAGUGGACUACAGAUGGAGAAAGCAUGGAAUGAGGGUAUGGCAGGGAGCAGGAAGCAAGCCUGGAGAGGGUUAGGAGGAACAACUUCAUAACAAUCGGAGGUCAAGGAGGCAUCUUCCUGGAGACAGGAAGGUAGGCACUGUGGAAUCAGCGGUGCGUAGAACAGUGAGGAUUUGGGGCUGAACCCAGCCCAGGUGGGCCAAGCCGUGGCACCAGCCGGACUGCAGUCUGAUGGAACUUCCCCUUCCUGCCCAGCAGAUGGCGAGCGUGUGCUGCUGGUGCCUCUUUCCAAAGGACGUUGAAUUGCUUGACAGCCCUGCCCAGCAUCUAGAAGACCACCUGAAGCUUUCACACUUUGAGACCUUAGAUCCUGCGAGGGUUUGAAUUUCAAAAGCUUCAAUUAAAGCACACAGUGUUCUUUACUUUAUGAAUGAAGCCAGAGCAGCCCACCUUCCUGCAUCUCUACCACCAUGGCACCAUGCCCUGUGAUGGGUGGGCUGGAGUCAAAUAUGUAGCAGGCAGCCAGGGUCAGUUUGUGGCCACUGCUGCCCCCUCUUCCUACAGUCUCCUCACUGAGUGCCCCUUCCCUGUUGGGUUCAACACAUCUGUGCUCCUGUAAGCCCUCAGCCUCCUCGUUCUCUUCCUCAACUUCUACCACCAGACACAUCUGAGAAGCAAGCAAGAGAGGCUGAACUAGGAGCAGGACCCAGGGACUGAAACCAGCACAGCAUCCCCACAGAGAAUUGGGUGGAAGGCAGCAUGGCUUCCAGCUUACUGGUGCUGAGCAGAUUGCUCUGGGUCUCCAUUGUAUCCUCUGAAGGAAGGAGGAGGAUUGCCUUCUGUCCAGAUCUCAGGAUCAAACAAAUAGGUCCAAUUUCCUGUGCUCACUUCAGUUAGAGCACUUCUCAUGUGACUUUGUAGCUUUGUGUGCAUCUCCUUCCUCUACUAGACCUAAGCCCCUCACGGGAGGGACUCUCUUAUUCUUGAUGUUCCCCACACCUGGAAUUUCAAUAAACAUCUCAA